AACGAACGCUGGCGGCAGGCCUAACACAUGCAAGUCGAGCGCCUCGCCAGAGGAGCGGCUGACCUGUGAUUAACGCGUGGCAACUUACUCUUAUCUUCGUAAUAUCCCUGUGAGACUGGGAUUAAUACCGAAUGUGCCCUCAGGUGGCAAGAUUUAUCGGAUACGGAUCGGCUCGCGUUUGAUUAGCUAGUUGGUGGGGUAAAGGCCUACCAAGGCGACGAUCCAUAGCUGGUAUGAGAGGAUGAUCAUCCACAUUAGGACAGAGACAAGGACCAAACUCCUACGGGAGGGAGCAGUGGGGAAGAAUGGACAAUGGGCGAAAGACGGAGCCAGCCAUGCCGCGUGAGUGAGGAAGGAGUGAGGGUUGUAAAGCUAAUUAACCGGAGAAGAUAAUAAGGGUAUCAGGAGAAGAAGCCCGGGCUAACUUCGU
rnacentral:rRNA from 1 species